GUUAGGUUAUAGGUUUAGGUUUAGGGAAUUGAGAAUAGGUUAAGGUUAAGGUUUCGAAAAUCUGGUUCAGGAUUGCGUUUAGGUUUGGGUUUUCAAGUUUAGGCUUAGGCUAAGGAGUUGAGCUUAGGAUUUGGUAUAGGUUUAGGUUUAAGGAUUUGAGAAUAGGUUAAGGUUUCGGUUUAGUAAAUCGGGUUCGGGUUCGGGAUCGGGUUUAGGCUUGGGUUUUCAAGUUUAGGUUUAGGUUAAGUAGUUGAGAUUAGGACUAGGUGUAAGUUUAGGUUUAAGGAUUUGAGAAUACAUUUAGGUUUUCGGUUUAGGUUUUGGUUUAGGUUUUAGGUACAGGUUAUAG